AUGAGUAAGUUCUGUUUCAGUAGAGGCAUACAGAAGGGUGCUACUUUAAGCUAAUGCUUGAAGAACAAUCAAAAGCAUGGAUGAACAGAAGAAGGGAGAAACUUUCAGAUCAAGGGAAUGAAAAGACAAUGCUUGGUGUGGAGGAAGGUUGUUUUGAAGAGAAACAAGGAGUGGGUCUGUGGAGAUAGGAGAAUCUAGAUCCACCUGGGAUAGGGAUACAGGAAUAGAAAUUUUGCCUUCUGAAGAUUUUCCUGGAAGUUCUGCUGGAUGUAUUAGACUACACAGAUUCUGGAGACAGGGACAUCUAUAUGGAAGGUGCUGAAUUAAAUCAGGCAUGUCAGAAAGGGACUAAAUUGAGAUAGCAGGGGAACCAGAAUAGAAAGCAAAGCAAAAGAAGCAUCUUAGCAGGAAAGACUAUUCCCCAUGUAAAGUACGUACUAGGUGAUAUGAAAUGAAAGAAGGAAAACCUGGAGCCAGCUCUACUGACUUGGGCCAAGUAGAGAGGGUCUCUGUUGUUGGAAGCUACAGGGAUAUACAGCUUGGUUCUGUAUGGCUUCUAUUCAUCUCAUGGUCCCAGGACCCCAAGAAGGGGAAAGUGGAAUGGAUAUGUAUCCAAUGUGAGAUCCUUCCCAGAGAAGCUGCAUGCAUGCUCACAUAUAGACACAGACACACACAGACACACACAUACUCAGCUGCUCUGAUUUGCCUCUACAUUCUUCUAGGCCGAAGGCUGAAGUUCAUUUUUAAAAUCUUGUUAUAAAUUUCUUCAACUCCUUAUAAUCCUAACCUUAAAUUAAUCUGGGCUGUUGGAUCCUGGACUCACUUCUGAUUGCUCUUGUUGUCAGCAGGCCUGAUGUUUCUGACUGAGCACCUUGGAGGGGUGGUGGUGGUGUGUGUGUGUGUGUAUGACCUGAGGACCUUUAAUCCACUUUGGAUUCCUCAAACCUCUCUAUGAUGCUGAUGAUCACAUUAAUGACUGUGAUGGUGGCAAAUAUUGUAGUCUUUAUCUUACAACAUUUUUUGACAACAUAUUCUAUAUAUUAACUUCUGUUUUCAGUAUAAAAUACAGCUCUAUUUUGCUAAAGAAAAUAAUGGUUUAAAGGAAAUGUGUUAAGCCCAAAUUUUCACAACUGACAGGGACUCGAGCUGGGAUUUUUUAGUCUAGUAAAUUAAUCCAAUAAAUAUUUUUAAGUUGCAUUACAAUUUGACUUUUAAAACUGGCAUAGUCUAAACAAAGAAGAGUUCCAGGGCUCCCAGGAUAUAAAUUUAGUGAAGUUGCUGUGACCAGUUCAUUCCACAAGUACUUUUUACCCUGUUCCUGGUUACUGACAUUGAAUGAUUUGUGAAGACAGUCUACAAAAUCUUUCUGUCUGUCUCUUCCCUUUCCUCUGUGUCAAAGCUAAGGGUCACAUGUGGAUCUUCACAUUUGAGUGGUUUAGUAUUUUUAUAGUGGCUUUCAUUUCUUAAAUGGGUUGAGCCAGCUAAUUGCUCUAGGAAAUUCUGUCUAAAUCAUGUAUUUUCACCACCUACAGUGUCUAACCAGCCUCCUCUCUGAUAUGCAAAAUUAUGAUGACUUGGAAAGCUCAAAGAGAAGUGUCUGGAAUCAGAAUUGCUUGGUGGAAAGGCAAAGCAGGAGGACCCACAUUGGAUUAUAAACCUCUCUGGAAGAAAAUCUUACUCAGGAGGCAAACAGACUUCUUCCCAUGAACACUAGGCUAGAAACAACCCAUUAAACCCAUCAAGUGGAGAAUAGGUAAGCUGAAAUACAUUAAUACAUAAUAUAUUACACAAGAGUGAAAUAAACGAGUUAAAAAAUGCAAGUUUGACAGGUUGUGAUGGCAUAUGCCUUUAAUCCCAGUACUCGGAAGGCAGACACAGGUGGAUUUCAAAAUUCUAAGACAGCUUGGUCAAAGUUUCAAGAUAGCCAGGAUUACGCAGAAAGACUCUGUCUCAAACAAAACAAAACAAGCAAAACAAAUAAAACCCUUCUAGUUGCCUUAAAAACAUAGUUUGAUAAUAUUUAUAGACAAAGCAGCCUACUGAAAUUAUAGAUUAGAUUCAACUACAUAUAAAAUUAAUCAAGUGUGUAGCAAAGUUAUAAAAGCAAUAGCUCACAUAAACCAAGUGUUGUGUUUACUUUUGGAAGAAGUAAUUUGGGAGGCCUUGGCCUACCUUGUGUACUUUGGACAGAAGCUCUGAAGGUACUUAGCACUUUAGAAUCUCUCUGUUUACUUUGCAAGUUGACAGCAUGAACAUGGGAGAACAGGGCCUACAAAUGAGGCAGAGAAAAGUCUCAU
rnacentral:lncRNA from 1 species